UUAUAUACGGCGGUACAUAUGCUAAAAUUGGAACGAUACAGAGAAGAUUAGCAUGGCCCCUGCGCAAGGAUGAUACGCAAAUUCGUGAAGCGUUCCAUAUAUCU
rnacentral:snRNA from 1 species